rnacentral:rRNA from 1 species
UAUAAUAAAGAGUCUAGCCUGCCCAGUGGUUAAUUUAACGGCCGCGGUACUCUGACCGUGCGAAGGUAGCAUAAUCAUUUGUCUUAUAAUUGAAGUCUGGAAUGAAUGGUUUAACAAGAGCGAAACUGUCUCUAUUAAUAGGAUAAAAUUUUAUGAUUAAGUUAAAAAGCUUAAAUAUAAUUAAAAGACGAGAAGACCCUAUCGAGUUUAAGGAAAAUAAUUAAAAUUUUUAACAUUGAUGAAUACUAAAUAUUUAAUAAAACUUUAGUUGGGGCGAUUCAGGAACAAAUAAAGCUUCUUGUAAUUAAAAUUUAUUGGUAAAUAUAUGAUCCAUAAUUUGUGAUUAAAAGAAUUAAUUACCGUAGGGAUAACAGCAUUAUCUUUUUUGAGAGCUCAAAUCGAAAAAAAUGUUUGUGACCUCGAUGUUGGACCAAGAUAACCUGAAGAUGUAGAAGUCUUUAAAGGUUGGUCUGUUCGACCAUUAAAAUCUUACGUGAUCUGAGUUCAGACCGG